GUCCUUGGAAGCUUGAGCUAGGAUGUCAGCACAGGAGACGAUGCCGGGGCAUUCUUUUUCGACAUCCGUUUUAAUGGCGUCAACAAUUUCAAGUCCUUGGAUUCCUUGAUUUCCAGGUGAGUUAAGCUCACUGACUAUGCCAGGAGCAUCCUCUAGCAAAACAGAGCCAUCGCAUCCCUACAAAAUAAGUUAAAUCUCCAUACAAUUAAAAGUAGAAAAAAAGAGAGAGAUGAUGAUGAUGAUGGUGAAAAAGUGUAGAGUUUUUGUACAUUGACGAAGCAAUCAUGGAAAUGGAGGCGAAUGAGUUUAGCACCGGCACGUAUGUCGGAUUGGAUGGCUUUCUUGACGGAGGCACGGACAAUGUUGGGGAGACGAGGGCAGGUUUGAUCGUAAUAGGUUUCGGAGAGUUGAGCAAAAGAGGAGCGGAAGAGAAGGGCAAGAAAGAAAAAGGAGGCAACGGCAGAGGCCAUGGUUGAAUUAGGAAGUGAGCAAAAGGUUGAGGAGUGGAUGCUGCUUUUAUAGAGACCAAAACAGAGUGGGAUUUGGCGGAGGCUGCAUAAGCAAAACCAACUAUGUAUUUUGAUAUUAAUGUUUAAGCAUAAGAUUCAAUUUUAUAAGUUAAUCCCAAUUUGUGACUUUCUUAUUAUUAAUAAUUUGAGUCAAUAUAACGUUCAUUAUUUAUAUUUAUCCAAUAUUGACUUUGGCUAUUUAUAGCCUCACAUUAACUUUUUUUUUUUUCUUCUUCUUUUGAGCACAAAUAGAUAUAGUUAUUUAAAUUUGUGAUUUGAAUUUCUAAUUUUUAAAGAAAAAAUAUUAAGUUUAAAUAUACUAAUUAUCUAUUAAUUUUUCUCUUCACCACUGCCACUGACUUAUAUAUAUAAAGAAGGUGGUGGAUUCCAACAAAUUAUUAAUAGAAUAUUAAUUAAUUUAAUACGUAUUACCAUUGUACGAGUUUUAAUUUUUUUAAAUCGAUUUUGGAUAAGUUUAUUAUAAAACAUUUACAUAGAUUGAAAAGUAUUAAAACUAAAAGAUUAUGAAGAAUUUGAACUUACUAUAUUACAACCGUAUUUUGUUUGGAAUGACAAUAUGGUGUAAAGUAGGAUGCCACGGUAUAUUAAUUGGGAUGACAAUUAAUAUAUUUUAAUUAUUCUUGAAUUAUGUUUAUUUGGUGUUUAUAGUUAUUUAAAAUAAAGCUACCAACAUUUUUAAAAAUAUCAAAAUAAAUUAAAAUAUUUAUAAGCUAUAACAAAAUUUUGUAUUGAGUGAUAGAAUUUGCUAUUUAAAAAAAAAAAUCAUAUACUUAAUCAAUUAGAUAAAUAAAUAAGAAAGUUUUUUAAAAUAGCAAAAUGAAACAUAAUGUUUAUAAAAUAUAGAAAAAUUUCAAAUAAUAUCAAUUAUUAACUUUUAUCACUAUCUACUGAUAACGUUGACAAAAAAAAGAUAAAAGUCUAUCUAUAUCUAUAUAGUUGGUAUAGUUAUAUGAAAUCUUGUUAUAUUUUCAAAUGUUUUAUCAUUUACAACAAUUUUUUUAAAAAAAUAAUUGAUUAAACAUAAUGUAAGGUACUUGUUUUAGUGCAUAUGAAUUUCAUAUGUAAUAGAAAAAUAUAUUUUUUUGAUGCCAAGAUGAACAUCGUUCAACUAACAUAAAAUUGAGUAUGUAUAAUGGGUUUCUCUAAUAGGUUUGAUUCAAAUAAAAAUAAAUAAAUUAUCUAAUUAAAUAGAUAAAUAAAAACUGGUUGGAGGUUUUUUAGGAUUUGAAAACAGCGUUUGUUCUUCGUAAUGAACGCUAUCUUCUACAUAUUUCGCUACUAAAUGACUUUCCUUCUUUCUCCAUUAUUGUCAUCUGGUUGUUGCAUAUUGACUAAUAUAAAAAGACUGCAAAGUUGAAAUAAAAAAUAAAACUAUAUCCUCCAUUCAUCAUCUUCUUUAGAUACGUUUAUUAACCUGUGUAUUGAACUCACCCGACAACACAAUAAGCUUAAUUAAUAUAGAAAAAGACGAAGAUGAAUCCAUGAAAACAAAACAAAAGAUGAGCCUACCCCUGCAGUUUUAUUCAUGGAAGAAAGCACAAACACCCAACUAAAUUAACACACACAUUAUGCUUAAUUAUAAGUUAUGGAUAUGAUGAACACCACAUAUGCAGAAACAGGCAGCUCAUUUUUUUAGUUUUACAUAACAUCGUGGCCUUCUGAUCCUUCUCCUUCUCCACCCAACAAACCAGAGUUUGAAUUAACCCUCCUGCAGUUUCUUCUAAUUUCCCCUUGUCCACCAGUCAAUGGCUUUAUAUUUCCCAUAUUGAUCAUCGACUGUCUGAACUCCUUGAAGAAUGUUCCUUCUCUUUCUGCAAAGCUGUUAACAAUGGCGAUGGUGUCAGCUCCAGGUGUUGAGAACAGCUCUUGAUCGCUCUGCAAAAGCCCCUUCCCCACUUGAAGAUUUGUGUAGUAAUUUUUGUCAAACACAUCCGGUGUUACUGGAUCGAAAUUCGCUCUUGUGUCUGCUCCUGCUGAACAAACCCCUUCAAGAAAGCUCCUGUAGUCUGGGUUCAAUGAUUGGUCUGGCCUUCCUGUAUUGUUGAAAUUCGCAAAUCGGUGGCUGAAGAAUCUGCAUCUCGAUCGUCCAAAUGUAUGCGCCCCUGAAAUUUGUUUCAUCAAUCUAACCACACUUCCAUCAAUUCAUUUACUGCUAAAUUCAUUUGUUUGUUAAUUAAUUUUACCAGAUAAAGAGACGAGAUCCAUGGUAUUGAGCCCAACAUUCCUAAAUUUAGCUUUAAGUUGGUCUAGAGUUUCGAAGGGACUAGCCAAGUUACUGUCGGCCCCUGUUUUGUUUGCUAUUCUGCUGUCUCGUCUUCCGUAUAACACUCUCCAGCUAGGCCCUCCUUGCUGAUAAUGAGAUCAAACGUUAGUAAGCAAUAAAAAAUUCAACACAAAGAUUUCUACACUUACGAACAUUUUUUAUUUUUACGUAUAUAAUAUAAAUAUGUCAAAUACGAGUUUGGAAUAGCAAGAUUUUGACUUGGUCAUGCUGCUUCAAAGCAGCAGUAACAGAUUUAAAGCAUGGCGAUGAGCUAAACGAUACGAAUGUAUUGGAUCAAAAAUAUUUACCACAUCGACAGAGUCUUUAGAAGCCUGAGCUAGGAUGUCAGCACAGGAGACGAUGCCAGGGCAUUCUCUUUCGACGUCGGCUUUAAUGGCGUCGACAAUUUCAAGCCCUUGGAUUCCUUGAUUUCCAGGUGAGUUAAGCUCACUGACUAUGCCGGGAGCAUCCUCUAGCAAAACAGAGCCAUCGCAUCCCUACAAAAUCAACAACCCCAUGAAAUUAAAAACAAAACAGAACAGAGAGAUUAAUGAAAAAGUGUAGAGUUUUGUACAUUGACGA
rnacentral:lncRNA from 1 species